rnacentral:rRNA from 1 species
GGACUACUAGGGUAUCUAAUCCCGUUCGCUCCCCUGGCUUUCGCACCUGAGCGUCAGGAACCAGCCAGGACCCUGCCUACGCCAUUGGUGUUCCUCCGGAUCUCUACGCAUUUCACCGCUCCACCCGGAAUUCCAGGUCCCUCUCUGGCCCUCCAGUCGGACAGUCUUCGCGACCCUUGGGCAGUUAAGCCGCCCACUGUCCCCGCAAACUUACCCGACCGCCUGCGUGCCCUUUACGCCCAGUAACUCCGGACAACGCUUGCCCCCUACGUAUUACCGCGGCUGCUGGCAC